rnacentral:rRNA from 1 species
UAAGGAAUAUUGGUCAAUGGACGCAAGUCUGAACCAGCCAUGCCGCGUGGAGGAUGAAGGUCCUCUGGAUUGUAAACUUCUUUUAUCUGGGACGAAACACUUCUUUUCUAAGAGGCCUGACGGUACCAGAUGAAUAAGCCCCGGAUAACUUCGUGCCAGCAGCCGCGGUAAUACGAAGGGGGCUAGCGUUGCUCGGAAUCACUGGGCGUAAAGGGUGCGUAGGCGGGUUUCUAAGUCAGAGGUGAAAGCCUGGAGCUCAACUCCAGAACUGCCUUUGAUACUGGAAGUCUUGAGUUCGGGAGAGGUGAGUGGAACUGCGAGUGUAGAGGCGAAAUUCGUAGAUAUUCGCAAGAACACCAGUGGCGAAGGCGGCUCACUGGCCCGAUACUGACGCUGAGGCACGAAAGCGUGGGGAGCAAACA